UACGGGAGGCAGCAGUGGGGAAUAUUGCACAAUGGGCGAAAGCCUGAUGCAGCUAUGCCGCGUGUAUGAAGAAGGCCUUAGGGUUGUAAAGUACUUUCAUCGGGGAGGAAAAACAAAACUAAUAAUUUUAUUUCUUGACGUUACCCGAAAAAGAAGCACCGGCUAACUCCGUGCCAGCAGCCGCGGUAAUACGGAGGGUGCUAGCGUUAAUCAGAAUUACUGGGCGUAAAGAGCACGUAGGUGGUUUUUUUAAGUCAGAUGUGAAAUCCCUGGGCUUAACCUAGGAACUGCAUUUUGAAACUGAAAUACUAGAGUAUCGUAGAGGGAGGUAGAAUUCUAGGUGUAGCGGUGAAAUGCGUAGAUAUCUGGAGGAAUACCUGUGGCGAAAGCGGCCUCCUAAACGAAUACUGACACUGAGGUGCGAAAGUGUGGGGAGCAAACAGGGAUUAGAUACC
rnacentral:rRNA from 1 species